rnacentral:tRNA from 1 species
AGGGGUGUCGCCAAGCGGUAAGGCACAAGACUUUGACUCUUGCAUUCGUAGGUUCAAAUCCUGCCACCCCUGCCA